UUAAGCGACUAAGCGUACACGGUGGAUGCCCUGGCAGUCAGAGGCGAUGAAGGACGUGCUAAUCUGCGAUAAGCGUCGGUAAGGUGAUAUGAACCGUUAUAACCGGCGAUUUCCGAAUGGGGAAACCCAGUGUGAUUCGUCACACUAUCAUUAACUGAAUCCAUAGGUUAAUGAGGCGAACCGGGGGAACUGAAACAUCUAAGUACCCCGAGGAAAAGAAAUCAACCGAGAUUCCCCCAGUAGCGGCGAGCGAACGGGGAGGAGCCCAGAGCCUGAAUCAGUGUGUGUGUUAGUGGAAGCGUCUGGAAAGGCGCGCGAUACAGGGUGACAGCCCCGUACACAAAAAUGCACAUGCUGUGAGCUCGAUGAGUAGGGCGGGACACGUGGUAUCCUGUCUGAAUAUGGGGGGACCAUCCUCCAAGGCUAAAUACUCCUGACUGACCGAUAGUGAACCAGUACCGUGAGGGAAAGGCGAAAAGAACCCCGGCGAGGGGAGUGAAAAAGAACCUGAAACCGUGUACGUACAAGCAGUGGGAGCACAGAGCAAUCUGUGUGACUGCGUACCUUUUGUAUAAUGGGUCAGCGACUUAUAUUCUGUAGCAAGGUUAACCGAAUAGGGGAGCCGAAGGGAAACCGAGUCUUAACUGGGCGUUAAGUUGCAGGGUAUAGACCCGAAACCCGGUGAUCUAGCCAUGGGCAGGUUGAAGGUUGGGUAACACUAACUGGAGGACCGAACCGACUAAUGUUGAAAAAUUAGCGGAUGACUUGUGGCUGGGGGUGAAAGGCCAAUCAAACCGGGAGAUAGCUGGUUCUCCCCGAAAGCUAUUUAGGUAGCGCCUCGUGAAUUCAUCUCCGGGGGUAGAGCACUGUUUCGGCAAGGGGGUCAUCCCGACUUACCAACCCGAUGCAAACUGCGAAUACCGGAGAAUGUUAUCACGGGAGACACACGGCGGGUGCUAACGUCCGUCGUGAAGAGGGAAACAACCCAGACCGCCAGCUAAGGUCCCAAAGUCAUGGUUAAGUGGGAAACGAUGUGGGAAGGCCCAGACAGCCAGGAUGUUGGCUUAGAAGCAGCCAUCAUUUAAAGAAAGCGUAAUAGCUCACUGGUCGAGUCGGCCUGCGCGGAAGAUGUAACGGGGCUAAACCAUGCACCGAAGCUGCGGCAGCGACACUAUGUGUUGUUGGGUAGGGGAGCGUUCUGUAAGCCUGUGAAGGUGUACUGUGAGGUAUGCUGGAGGUAUCAGAAGUGCGAAUGCUGACAUAAGUAACGAUAAAGCGGGUGAAAAGCCCGCUCGCCGGAAGACCAAGGGUUCCUGUCCAACGUUAAUCGGGGCAGGGUGAGUCGACCCCUAAGGCGAGGCCGAAAGGCGUAGUCGAUGGGAAACAGGUUAAUAUUCCUGUACUUGGUGUUACUGCGAAGGGGGGACGGAGAAGGCUAUGUUGGCCGGGCGACGGUUGUCCCGGUUUAAGCGUGUAGGCUGGUUUUCCAGGCAAAUCCGGAAAAUCAAGGCUGAGGCGUGAUGACGAGGCACUACGGUGCUGAAGCAACAAAUGCCCUGCUUCCAGGAAAAGCCUCUAAGCAUCAGGUAACAUCAAAUCGUACCCCAAACCGACACAGGUGGUCAGGUAGAGAAUACCAAGGCGCUUGAGAGAACUCGGGUGAAGGAACUAGGCAAAAUGGUGCCGUAACUUCGGGAGAAGGCACGCUGAUAUGUAGGUGAAGUCCCUCGCGGAUGGAGCUGAAAUCAGUCGAAGAUACCAGCUGGCUGCAACUGUUUAUUAAAAACACAGCACUGUGCAAACACGAAAGUGGACGUAUACGGUGUGACGCCUGCCCGGUGCCGGAAGGUUAAUUGAUGGGGUUAGCGGUAACGCGAAGCUCUUGAUCGAAGCCCCGGUAAACGGCGGCCGUAACUAUAACGGUCCUAAGGUAGCGAAAUUCCUUGUCGGGUAAGUUCCGACCUGCACGAAUGGCGUAAUGAUGGCCAGGCUGUCUCCACCCGAGACUCAGUGAAAUUGAACUCGCUGUGAAGAUGCAGUGUACCCGCGGCAAGACGGAAAGACCCCGUGAACCUUUACUAUAGCUUGACACUGAACAUUGAGCCUUGAUGUGUAGGAUAGGUGGGAGGCUUUGAAGUGUGGACGCCAGUCUGCAUGGAGCCGACCUUGAAAUACCACCCUUUAAUGUUUGAUGUUCUAACGUUGACCCGUAAUCCGGGUUGCGGACAGUGUCUGGUGGGUAGUUUGACUGGGGCGGUCUCCUCCUAAAGAGUAACGGAGGAGCACGAAGGUUGGCUAAUCCUGGUCGGACAUCAGGAGGUUAGUGCAAUGGCAUAAGCCAGCUUGACUGCGAGCGUGACGGCGCGAGCAGGUGCGAAAGCAGGUCAUAGUGAUCCGGUGGUUCUGAAUGGAAGGGCCAUCGCUCAACGGAUAAAAGGUACUCCGGGGAUAACAGGCUGAUACCGCCCAAGAGUUCAUAUCGACGGCGGUGUUUGGCACCUCGAUGUCGGCUCAUCACAUCCUGGGGCUGAAGUAGGUCCCAAGGGUAUGGCUGUUCGCCAUUUAAAGUGGUACGCGAGCUGGGUUUAGAACGUCGUGAGACAGUUCGGUCCCUAUCUGCCGUGGGCGCUGGAGAACUGAGGGGGGCUGCUCCUAGUACGAGAGGACCGGAGUGGACGCAUCACUGGUGUUCGGGUUGUCAUGCCAAUGGCACUGCCCGGUAGCUAAAUGCGGAAGAGAUAAGUGCUGAAAGCAUCUAAGCACGAAACUUGCCCCGAGAUGAGUUCUCCCUGACUCCUUGAGAGUCCUGAAGGAACGUUGAAGACGACGACGUUGAUAGGCCGGGUGUGUAAGCGCAGCGAUGCGUUGAGCUAACCGGUACUAAUGAACCGUGAGGCUUAACCUU
rnacentral:rRNA from 1 species